UAGGACUCUUAGCCCAGGUAGUCCCCAAG
rnacentral:piRNA from 1 species